CCUGGAUCCACCCCUCCUCUUCCCCAUCUAAGGGUUAGCAGCUGAGGGAGUCAUUUCUUUUUGGAUUGAGAUUGUAUUCCUCUUGGGCUGUUACCAAUCAUCAGAAGAGAUAUCUGCCAUCCUUCACUGAGAACUUCAGCAACCCUCAUCUCUACACCUGCAAGCCAGGUACCCAGCCUGGAUGAGAGCAUAAUACGAGUUAAUUAUUGCUUUAAUUUAAGUGAAGUCCUAUGCUGAGAGCUGUUGUCAGUGGGAUUCCCUGGAUUUGGUAAGGCACAUUUGGCUCCAUCACACUGGCAAAACUGAAAUAAUAUUUCCUGAGCACUGACCUCUUCGACACUUAUGUGGACUCAGCAUCUUAAUUGCUGUUAGUGUGAAUCACCAAAAGCUGGUGCAUAAUUUCUCAAGACAUUUAUUGGAGAUCUACAGUAGACAUUCACUCUCAAUAACAAAAAUAAAGAAAUCCAUAAAUCCCAUGAAACUUUCCCCUACUUCAUUUUAAGUUGUUUAUACAAGAAACUUCAUGUCGUAAUAACACUUUUUGGCCUUUGUUUGAUUGGAAAUUUCUAUUAAACUGUUAUGAGAAAAUAA